AUCCGGACGGGUGAGUAACACGUAUGUAACCUACCUGUUACAGGGGGAUAACCCGGAGAAAUCCGGACUAAUACCGCAUACGUUCUUUAAGACAAAAGUUUUAGAGAAGAAAGUAGUAAUACGGUAACAGAUGGACAUGCGGUCCAUUAGCUAGUUGGCGGGGCAACGGCCCACCAAGGCGACGAUGGAUAGGGGUUCUGAGAGGAAGGUCCCCCACAUUGGUACUGAGACACGGACCAAACUCCUACGGGAGGCAGCAGUGAGGAAUAUUGGUCAAUGGGCGCGAGCCUGAACCAGCCAAGUCGCGUGAGGGAAGACGGCCUUAUGGGUUGUAAACCUCUUUCCAGAUGAGAGUAAAGGGUGUUACGAAGUAGCACAUUGCAAGUAUCAUCAGAAGAAGCAUCGGCUAAUUCCGUGCCAACAGGCCGCGGUAAAUACGGAAGAUGCCGAGCGUUAUCCGGAAUUUAUUGGGUGUAAAGGGUGCGUAGACGGGAAGUCAAGUUGGUUGUGAAAUCCCUCGGCUCAACUGAGGAACUGCAACCAAAACUGAAUUUCUUGAGUGCUGGAGAGGAAAGUGGAAUUCCUAGUGUAGCGGUGAAAUGCGUAGAUAUUAGGAGGAACACCAGUGGCGAAGGCGACUUUCUGGACAGUAACUGACGUUGAGGCACGAAGGUGUGGGGAGCAAACAGGAUUAGAUACCCUGGUAGUCCACACCGUAAACGAUGGAUACUAGGUGUAGGAUGUAUUAAGCAUUCUGUGCCGCCGCUAACGCAUUAAGUAUCCCACCUGGGGAGUACGACCGCAAGGUUGAAACUCAAAGGAAUUGACGGGGGCCCGCACAAGCAGUGGAGUAUGUGGUUUAAUUCGAAGCAACGCGAAGAACCUUACCAGUGCUUGACUAUAAACAGGAAUAACUAAGAGAUUAGAUUAGCUCUUCGGAGCUUGUUUACAGGUGGUGCAUGGUUGUCGUCGUCAGCUCGUGCCGUGACGGUGUCGGCUUAAGUGCCAUAACGAGCGCAACCCUUAUCGAUAGUUACUAACAGGUCGAGCUGAGGACUCUAUCGAGACUGCCGGACGUAAGCCGCGAGGAAGGUAGGGAUGACGUCAAUAUCAGCACGGCCCUUACGUCCGGGGCGACACACGUGUUACAAUGGCAGGGACAGAGAGGAGCCAGGCAGCGAUGCCGCGCCAAUCCCGAAACCCUGUCUCAGUUCGGAUUGGAGUCUGCAUACCCGACUCCAUGAAGCUGGAUUCGCUAGUAAUCGCGCAUCAGCCAUGGCGCGGUGAAUACGUUCCCGGGCCUUGUACACACCGCCCGUCAAGCCAUGGGAGCCGGGAGUACCUGAAGUAUGUGACCGCAAGGAGCGUCCUAAGGUAACAUCGGUAACUGGGGCUAAGUCGUAACAAGGUAG
rnacentral:rRNA from 1 species